AUUCCAGCUCCGAUAGCGUAUAUUAAAGUUGUUGCAGUUAAAAAGCUCGUAGUUGGGAAGGAAGGUGGGAAGGUAUUUGAUCCGAAGGAAUUUGUGAAUCAAGCCAUCCUGCUUUACACUGUUUUAUGAUGAAUUAAUUUUCAUUUAUCAACAUUUUACUUUGAAAAAAUUAGAUCGCUUAAAGAAGGAAUUUCAUAUUCACUUCCAUUGAAUAAUCUACCAUAGGAUAAUUGAAUAAGACCUACAUCUUAUUUUGUUGGUUUUCUAGAUGAAGGUAAUGAUAAAUAGGGACAGACGGGGAUAUCAGUAUUUGGCUGUCAGAGGUGAAAUUCUAAGACCAGUUGAAGACUCACUACUGCGAAAGCAUUUAUCAAGCAUGUUUUCAUUA
rnacentral:rRNA from 1 species